rnacentral:rRNA from 1 species
UACGUAGGGGCCAAGCGUUGUCCGGAUUUAUUGGGCGUAAAGAGCGUGUAGGCGGCCAGGUAGGUCUGCUGUGAAAACUCGAGGCUCAACCUCGAGACGUCGGCGGAAACCGUCUGGCUAGAGUCCGGAAGAGGAGAGUGGAAUUCCUGGUGUAGCGGUGAAAUGCGCAGAUAUCAGGAAGAACACCCGUGGCGAAGGCGGCUCUCUGGGACGGUACUGACGCUGAGACGCGAAAGCGUGGGGAGCGAACAGG